rnacentral:rRNA from 1 species
AUUGAACGCUGGCGGCAGGCCUAACACAUGCAAGUCGAGCGGAUGAAGGGAGCUUGCUCCUGGAUUCAGCGGCGGACGGGUGAGUAAUGCCUAGGAAUCUGCCUGGUAGUGGGGGAUAACGUCCGGAAACGGGCGCUAAUACCGCAUACGUCCUGAGGGAGAAAGUGGGGGAUCUUCGCACCUCACGCUAUCAGAUGAGCCUAGGUCGGAUUAGCUAGUUGGUGGGGUAAAGGCCUACCAAGGCGACGAUCCGUAACUGGUCUGAGAGGAUGAUCAGUCACACUGGAACUGAGACACGGUCCAGACUCCUACGGGAGGCAGCAGUGGGGAAUAUUGGACAAAGGGCGAAAGCCUGAUCCAGCCAUGCCGCGUGUGUGAAGAAGGUCUUCGGAUUGUAAAGCACUUUAAGUUGGGAGGAAGGGCAGUAAGUUAAUACCUUGCUGUUUUGACGUUACCAACAGAAUAAGCACCGGCUAACUUCGUG